CGCUGCUUUGGCGGCAGCGGCAUUACUUGCUCACAGCGCAGCGCUCCCGGCAAGGAUCGUCGGAAGGCAGCUUUUGGUGAAGGGCGAGCCGGUCCACCUGAAGGGCGUGAAUUGGAACCCCGUCAGGAUAGGCGGCAAGCAUCCGGAAGAUCUGGACUUCCGGGGCUUCGUCGUGGCGGACGCCGAGCUCAUGGCCACG
rnacentral:SRP_RNA from 13 species